AAAUCCAUUUUCCUCCAAAAUCCCCAUUUCCCCAAAUCACACAUUUUCUCUUGGAAAAUCCCACAUUUACCCCCAAAUCAUGCUUUAUCUCUUCAAAAUACCCCAUUAUCCCCCAAAUCACACAUUUUCUCUAGGAAAAUCCCCCAUUUAACUCGGAAAUCACACUUUUGCUCUUCAAAUAUCCCCCAUUUGACCCCAAAUCAAACAUUUUUGCUACAAGAAUCCCCCAUGUAUCCAAAAAACACGCAUUUCCUCUACAAAAAUCUCACAUGUAAACGAAACUCAUGCAAUUUCUCUUCGAGAAUCCCCAUUUAACCAGUAGAAAAUGCAUUUCUCUUCGAGAAUCCCCCAUUCAACCCGAAAAUGAUGCAUUUCUCUUCAAGAAUCCCUGAUUUAUCCCGAAUAUCACGCAUUUUCUCUUCAAAAAUCUCCCAUGUAACCUGAAAAUCACGCAUUAUCUCUACGAAAAUCACACAUUUAAUGCCAACAUCAGGCAUUUUCUCUUAGAGAUUCCGCGAUUUAACUGAAAAUCACACAUUUUCUCUUGAAAAAUCCCCUAUUUACCCGAAAAUCACGCCUUUUCUUUGCAAAUAUCCCCCACUUACACAAAAAUCAUGCCUUUUCUCUAUGAAAAUCCCCCAUCUAAAAAGAAAAUCAUGCAUUUUCGUUUGGAAAAUCCCCCAUUUAAGUGAAAAUCACGCAUUUGGCUUCGAAAACCCCCCAGUUUAACCUGAAACGAAGCAUUUCCUCUUCGAAAACCCCCCAUUUUACCCGAAAAUCACGCAUUUUCCCUUCCAAAAUACCCCAUUUAAACAAAAAUCACACAUUUGCUCUUUGAGAAUCCCUGAUUUAAACUGAAAAUCACGCAUAUUCUCUUCAAAAAUUGCUGUUCAAACCAAAAAUUGCGCGUUUUCUCUUCAACAAUCCCCCGUUUAACCCCAACAUCACGCAUUUUCUCUUGGAAAACCCCCCGUUUAACUCAAAAAUCUCACCUUUUCUCUUGGAAAAUACGCAUUUACCCCAAAUCAUGCAUUUCUCUCCAAAAAUACCCCAUUAUCCCCAAAAUCACACAUUUUCUCCUCAGAAAUC
rnacentral:lncRNA from 7 species